rnacentral:tRNA from 1 species
GUUUUUAUAGUUUAAAAUUAAAACAUUGGUCUUGUAAACCAAAAAUAUAUUUAUCUUAUUAAAAACU